ACAUCUCAGUAGCUGCAGGAAGAGAAAGAAACAUCGAUUCCCUUAGUAGCGGCGAGCGAACGGGGAAGAGCCCAAACCAACGAGCUUGCUCGUUGGGGUUGUAGGACUGAACAUUUGAGUUACCAAAGAGCGACGUAGUCGAAACAGUUGGGAAGCUGUGCCAGAGAUGGUGAAAGCCCAGUAGACGAAACGGCACUCUCUCAGUUCAGGAUCCUGAGUACGGCGGGACACG
rnacentral:rRNA from 1 species